ensembl:lncRNA
AUCUUGAACAAAGUUUCAACUUCAGUCUUCUUGAGGAUUAAAGAGUUUGAAUCUAAAACCACCACAACAAUUACUGCAUAUUGACAGAGCACUUAUAAAGCCAUCGACGAAGUCAGACUGUUUCAGUCUCUUCACGAGGAUUACAAAACCUAAUGUUUGUAGCUAUUGGCCCUUCUACAAUGCCCUCCUUUGGCUCUUCAUCUGUGUCGAUGCAGGCUGGCAGUGCUGUUGGUCCACCUCCUGCUUCAUCGAGCUUAUCAUCUCCUCUGGGGUUAUGGGACUGGGAAAAAAACAUAAUAUCACCAGAGGGUGGCAGUAUCCUCAAUAAUUGACCUUGUGCUGAAGCUAAAGGUAUAUGUCUAAUGUAAAUCAACAAACUUUAGCUCUUUGGAAAAGACAUCAAAUCUUGAUGUAUAUAUGUUUUCCAUUGACCUCAUUUGUAAGUCGCUUUGGAUAAAAGCAUCUGCUAAAUGACUAAAUGUAAAUAUAAAUUGGUCCAAAUAUAUUAAAUAUCUUAAUUUCUAACUUUGGCCUGUAGUGUAUGCUGUAACUAAAUCAACUUAAUUUAGCUCUAUUUGGACAAGAUUUAAAAUCUUGCUGUAUUUUUAUAGAUCCAAAUAUAUGAAAUAUUGAUAUAAAUACACUACCGUUCAAAUAUUUUUAAAUGUUUUAAAAGAAGUCUCUCAUGCUCACAAUUUAUUUUUUAUCAAAAAUACAGUUAAAACAGUAAUAUUGUGAAAUAUUAUUACAUUUUAAAAGAACUAUUUCUAUUUAAAUUUAUUUCACAAUUUAAUUUAAUUAUUUGUUGGCAAAGCUGUAUUUUCAGCUGCCAUUACUCCAGUGUCACAUAACACUUCAGAAAUUCUAAUAUGCUAAUUUUCUACUAACUAUUAUUAAUGUUGAAAACAGUUGUGCUUGCUAAUAUUUUCUUUUUUGUAUCUUUGUUCAAUUUAAUGCAUCCUUGCAGGGUUAAAGUCUUAGUAUUAGUAGUUAUUUAUUUUUAUUGCCAUGACAGCAUCUAAGGUUAUCGUCACAACAAUAACUUAGUUGAAAUAAUACAAGAGUUACAUAAAUUCAUAAUGAAAAACAAAAUACAGCAGUUAAAAUGAUACAAGAUUUUUUUUUUUAUUGAGUAAAAUAAUUAAUUAAUUUCUAAAAUAAAUCUUACUGACCCAACAGUAGUGUUUCAUUAGUUUCAUCAUGGGAUUUCCAUUAAGCUAUUGACCUAAAAUCAGUUUUUACCUCAUCCUCAUCUUGGCCAG